AACCGGGGCUGGAGGCUCUCAUACAGGGCUGCAGGAAAUGAGUGCCCAGAGCUACAGCCUCCUGUCCAUGGGAAAAUCGAGCCCUCCCAAGCCAAGUAUUUCUUCAAAGACCAAGUGCUCGUCAGCUGUGACACAGGCUACAAAGUGCUGAAGGUGCAGAGCCUUGCCUGGGAAAGGGGAGUGACCAGGCCACAGAAACUCUCCAAACCUGCCCCUCCCCAGGGCAGAUGGGCUGCCAGAACUUGUCAUAGUUCCAGCACAGAAUUUCCUAGCUGCCCAUCAACUUCUCAAAUGCUCCAGAAAUUCCAAAGCAUGUGUCCCAGGCGGUCUCACACUCUGAAAGUGGCACAAAAGUUUGUUUGUUUGUUUUAAUCAGAGCAUGAGCUGGUUUGAAUUUUUAAAAUAU
rnacentral:sRNA from 1 species